GUUUAGUGCUUAUUCAUGGCCAGCCUUGUCCCUGCCCUGCCUGGUGAGGUCUGAGCUGCCAGGUUCUACUUACUCCGUCACCCGCGCCCACCCAGGACUGGCUGGUCCCUGCAGCGGUUCUAGGAUGUGACUCUGCCCCUGGUUCUGGAGACCACGGGUCAUCAGCAAAUGCACUGAGCACGAAGACAAGGUUGCAAAGGGUAGAUUGGGUCUACCCAGGAAGCAAAGCUCAGGUUCCUGAGGGCUCCUGGAUCCCCCCAGUCUCUCACAGAUGUGAACAGGCUGUCUCAUGUUUCUGCUGCAACGGUUAUGAGCUGCUCCCAUUGCUAUGACUGACUGGGAGCCAACACAAAUCGUUCUUCCCUACUACAGUUGUUUCUAUCAGGUAUUUUGUCAAAGCAACAGGGACUCAGCACAGGCAGAGAGUGCAAGCUCGGAGAAUCGCUGUCCUUAUCAUUCUCUAUCACCCCAGCCUGAGGACAGAAGACUGCAUUUUCUGCACCCCAAGGAGCUGGAACAAUGUCCUCUGAAUCCAUCAAUGCAAUCGGGUUCCUGUAGCCACUGCUCAUGUUCCUGGAAACACAGAGGUUUCCCCAUCACCCAUCAAUGAUUAUUUUUGUUCUUCAUGGAAAAUCCACCAGUGACUGGCAGAUGGAACCCAGGGCUUCUGCAUACAUUAGCUCAGCUAGAAGGGGAAUGGAUAAGGACACAGGACCUCCCAUCUCUGUGGGGGUGUGGACGUGCAUCUGGCUAUGCAGUGUGGACGUGCAUCUGGCUAUGCAGUGUGGACGUGCAUCUGGCUAUGCAGUGUGGACGUGCAUCUGGCUAUGCAGUCCCAGCUGUCUGUCAGACUACAGCAGAAGCCCGAGAUCAUCAGAGACCCCAUCCAGUCCCCAGCAACCUGUACAGACACUCUGUGCCCUGUGGUAAAGCACACAGUUGAAUUGUUC
ensembl:antisense Tspan32os tetraspanin 32, opposite strand